CCGAACUGGUGAGUAACACGUGGGAAACCUGCCCAGAAGCGGGGGAUAACACCUGGAAACAGAUGCUAAUACCGCAUAACAACUUGGACCGCAGGGUCCGAGUUUGAAAGAUGGCUUCGGCUAUCACUUUUGGAUGGUCCCGCGGCGUAUUAGCUAGAUGGUGGGGUAACGGCUCACCAUGGCAAUGAUACGUAGCCGACCUGAGAGGGUAAUCGGCCACAUUGGGACUGAGACACGGCCCAAACUCCUACGGGAGGCAGCAGUAGGGAAUCUUCCACAAUGGACGAAAGUCUGAUGGAGCAACGCCGCGUGAGUGAAGAAGGGUUUCGGCUCGUAAAACUCUGUUGUUAAAGAAGAACAUAUCUGAGAGUAACUGUUCAGGUAUUGACGGUAUUUAACCAGAAAGCCACGGCUAACUACGUGCCAGCAGCCGCGGUAAUACGUAGGUGGCAAGCGUUGUCCGGAUUUAUUGGGCGUAAAGCGAGCGCAGGCGGUUUUUUAAGUCUGAUGUGAAAGCCUUCGGCUCAACCGAAGAAGUGCAUCGGAAACUGGGAAACUUGAGUGCAGAAGAGGACAGUGGAACUCCAUGUGUAGCGGUGAAAUGCGUAGAUAUAUGGAAGAACACCAGUGGCGAAGGCGGCUGUCUGGUCUGUAACUGACGCUGAGGCUCGAAAGUAUGGGUAGCAAACAGGAUUAGAUACCCUGGUAGUCCAUACCGUAAACGAUGAAUGCUAAGUGUUGGAGGGUUUCCGCCCUUCAGUGCUGCAGCUAACGCAUUAAGCAUUCCGCCUGGGGAGUACGGCCGCAAGGCUGAAACUCAAAGGAAUUGACGGGGGCCCGCACAAGCGGUGGAGCAUGUGGUUUAAUUCGAAGCUACGCGAAGAACCUUACCAGGUCUUGACAUACUAUGCAAAUCUAAGAGAUUAGACGUUCCCUUCGGGGACAUGGAUACAGGUGGUGCAUGGUUGUCGUCAGCUCGUGUCGUGAGAUGUUGGGUUAAGUCCCGCAACGAGCGCAACCCUUAUUAUCAGUUGCCAGCAUUAAGUUGGGCACUCUGGUGAGACUGCCGGUGACAAACCGGAGGAAGGUGGGGAUGACGUCAAAUCAUCAUGCCCCUUAUGACCUGGGCUACACACGUGCUACAAUGGAUGGUACAACGAGUUGCGAACUCGCGAGAGUAAGCUAAUCUCUUAAAGCCAUUCUCAGUUCGGAUUGUAGGCUGCAACUCGCCUACAUGAAGUCGGAAUCGCUAGUAAUCGCGGAUCAGCAUGCCGCGGUGAAUACGUUCCCGGGCCUUGUACACACCGCCCGUCACACCAUGAGAGUUUG
rnacentral:rRNA from 1 species